CACACUAAAAAAUCCUGGGUUAUUUUUUCUACCCAAGUGCUGGGUUGAGCCAUUUGGGUAAAUUUUUUGGGUUAUUUUCUCAGUCUUGGGUAGUUUUUGGGUAGUUCUAUGUAACCCAACCACUGGGUUAUUUUCUGGGUCGUUUUCACUGAGAGCUGAAUCAAUGCACCCCCUCCCCCACUCGGACGCAAUAACCCAGCUCAUUGGGUCAAAUCAACUCCGCGCAGGAUCAGCGCAGCGCGGGCUGACUGAAUUCGAGGUGGAGGUGGAUGCCACACACACGCUGUAAUAUUUGGAGAAAUAAGACCUGCUCUCGACUGUCCGUGGUGGCAAAUCCACAGCCUUUCGCUGGAGUAGAAUCAACCGUAUCUGAAGAGAGAGCUGAGGAAAUUAAACAAUGGCUGAGAAACAACACACAGCCCAUCAGCCAGGUGGAACAGUACAUCUGAAAAAUAUGUUUGAGGUCCUCCAUGAGUUUCCUCGGCUAACUACCUCAGGCAUGAUUGCACAGGACUUUCACAUUUUACAUUAAGAUGAAGCCCCAAAACUGUUUGAAAAAUGGCUGGUAUACUGACAGGAUCUUGCUUUUUGUGAGCGAGAAGCAAAGCUUUCAUGUACAGCUGAAGAAAUGACAGAAGAUGCAAAGGGAAAUCUUGCACUAAAGCUAUUUACCUGUUUUGCUUCUACCUCCACCCUACAAAAUUGGCAGAAAAACAGUCCAACCCAGCAUUGAUGAAAUCAAAAAAGCUUUCAUUGACAUUCAGCCUGUUGGAACAAAUAUGGUGGAGUACCUCCAGCAGGCUGAAGCAUCAAGACCUUACCCUUAUGUCCUGUAACUUGAAAAUGGACACAUUGCGUCGCGGGCAUUUGUCAUCCUCGCAGGAGAAGCUUUGGAACAAAGAACUAUUGUUUAAGGGGAAGUCAUGGCCUAAUGGUUAGAGAGUUGGACUCGCAAUUUAAGGGUUGUGAGUUCGAGUCUCGGGCCGACAGGAAUUGUAGGUGAGAGGAGUGAAUGUAUAGUGCUCUCUCCACCCUCAAUACCACGACUUAGGUGCCCUUGAGCAAGGCAUCGAACCCCCAACUGCUCCCCGGGCGCCGCAGCAUAAAUGGCUGCCCACUGCUCCGGGUGUGUGCUCACAGUGUGUGUGUGUGUUCACUGCUCUGUGUGUGUGCACUUCGGAUGGGUUAAAUGCAGAGCGUGAAUUCUGAGUAUGGGUCACCAUACUUGGCUGAAUGUCACAUUACUUUCACUUCAUUGGGACAGUAAAUGUAUGUUUCAAAUCGUUUUAUGUUUUUGAUGUAAACUAACCGAAACAUUGUUUCUAUAUUAGGGAGUUUAUUCAUAAUAUUUUUGAGUUGGAGGGAAGUGAAUCCCCAACAGUGAAAUUUUUGCACUGGGCACUACAUUCUUGCAAGUAGAUUAUAAGAGGUUCUUUGAACAAACAGUGGUUCAAGAACACGAGGUAGCAUUUUAGUUUAAGUUUUAUUUGCACAUGAGAUUUUUGUUCUGUUUUUUUUUUUUUGUAUAAACAACUGUUUUAUUGCUUGAGGAAGAGUAUUACUUUAUGCGUACUGAUGAUUAUCAAUUACAUUUUUACGUAGAAAUCUUUUACUGCCAAUACGUUGUAUUUCAUAGAUUUAUUUUUGUGUUCAUUUUGUAGACUUAAAACAACAGGUCCAUAAUGUAGACUUAAAACAAAUGUGCUUUGUAACAAACAGUUCUUGAGGUAAAGUAUUUUAGUUUUAAUUUCAUGUGCAUAUGGAUUAUUUAAAAAUAAGUAUUUAUUUGUAUAUUUAAAAAAAAAGGUUUUUUGGAGUUCAUGAAUUUCAUGAGCAUAUGGAUUAAAAAUAAUAUGAAUUAUUUUUUAAAUGUAUUACUAAACCUUGUGGUUCUUUGGAGUUUAUGAAUUCAAAUGUUUUUUUCUAAACAUUUACAGUUUAGAAAAGUUACAGAGGCAAACCAUAAAAAUGAAAGAAAUUGUUUUAAAUACUGUUUAUAAAUGGAAUUUUAUUUUUUUAGUUUUGUAUGAUCUCUUGAAUUUUUGGUUGAGGUAAAGUGUAAAAAGUGUAAUGUGCUGAAAUAAAA